AACGAACGCUGGCGGCAUGCCUAACACAUGCAAGUCGAACGAGACCUUCGGGUCUAGUGGCGCACGGGUGCGUAACGCGUGGGAACCUGCCUUUAGGUUCGGAAUAACUCAGAGAAAUUUGAGCUAAUACCGAAUAAUGUCUUCGGACCAAAGAUUUAUCGCCUUCAGAUGGGCCCGCGUUGGAUUAGCUAGUUGGUGGGGUAAAGGCCUACCAAGGCGACGAUCCAUAGCUGGUCUGAGAGGAUGAUCAGCCACACUGGGACUGAGACACGGCCCAGACUCCUACGGGAGGCAGCAGUGGGGAAUAUUGGACAAUGGGCGAAAGCCUGAUCCAGCAAUGCCGCGUGAGUGAUGAA
rnacentral:rRNA from 1 species